CAGUCGCCACGGGAAUACGAAGGGGGCUAGCGUUGCUCGGAAUGACUGGGCGUAAAGGGCGCGUAGGCGGCGGCCAAGGUCAGGCGUGAAAUUCCCGGGCUCAACCUGGGGGCUGCGUUUGAUACUUGGUUGCUUGAGUGGGGAAGAGGGUCGUGGAAUUCCCAGUGUAGAGGUGAAAUUCGUAGAUAUUGGGAAGAACACCGGUGGCGAAGGCGGCAACCUGGUCCUUGACUGACGCUGAGGCGCGAAAGCGUGGGGGGCAAACAGGAUUAGAUACCCCGGUAGUCCCUGUCUCUUAUAC
rnacentral:rRNA from 1 species